rnacentral:rRNA from 1 species
CAGUAGCCGCGGGAAUACAGAGGGUGCAAGCGUUAGUCGGAUUUACUGGGCGUAAAGGGCGCGUAGGUGGUUAUGUAAGUGAGAUGUGAAAUCCCCGGGCUCAACCUGGGAACUGCAUCUUAUACUGCGUAGCUGGAGUGCAGUAGAGGGUAGUGGAAUUUCCGGUGUAGCGGUGAGAUGCGUAGAUAUCGGAAGGAACACCAGUGGCGAAGGCGGCUACCUGGACUGACACUGACACUGAGGCGCGAAAGCGUGGGGAGCAAACAGGAUUAGAUACCCGGGUAGUCCCUGUCUCUUAUAC